rnacentral:rRNA from 1 species
UACGUAGGGUGCAAGCGUUGUCCGGAAUUAUUGGGCGUAAAGAGCUCGUAGGCGGUUUGUUGCGUCGGCUGUGAAAUCCCGAGGCUCAACCUCGGGUCUGCAGUCGAUACGAGCAAACUAGAGUGUUGCAGGGGAGACUGGAAUUCCUGGUGUAGCGGUGAAAUGCGUAGAGAUCCGGAGGAACACCAGCGGCGAAGGCGGCAUCCUGGACUGGUCCUGACACUCAUGAGCGAAAGCGUGGGGAGCAAACAGG